rnacentral:rRNA from 1 species
UACGGGGGGGGCAAGCGUUGUUCGGAAUUACUGGGCGUAAAGGGCUCGUAGGUGGCCAACUAAGUCAGACGUGAAAUCCCUCGGCUUAACCGGGGAACUGCGUCUGAUACUGGAUGGCUUGAGUUUGGGAGAGGGAUGCGGAAUUCCAGGUGUAGCGGUGAAAUGCGUAGAUAUCUGGAGGAACACCGGUGGCGAAGGCGGCGUCCUGGACCAACACUGACACUGAUGAGCGAAAGCCAGGGGAGCAAACGGG